UACAGAGGGUGUAAACGUUGUUCGGAAUUACUGGGCGUAAAGCGUGUGUAGGCGGCUUUGUAAGUUAGAGGUGAAAGCCCGGAGCUCAACUUCGGAAUUGCCUUUAAGACUGCAUCGCUUGAACGUCGGAGAGGUGAGUGGAAUUCCGAGUGUAGAGGUGAAAUUCGUAGAUAUUCGGAAGAACACCAGUGGCGAAGGCGGCUCACUGGACGACUGUUGACGCUGAGGUGCGAAAGCGUGGGGAGCAAACAGG
rnacentral:rRNA from 1 species